UUGAACGCUGGCGGCAUGCCUUACACAUGCAAGUCGAACGGUAACAGGUUAAGCUGACGAGUGGCGAACGGGUGAGUAAUACAUCGGAACGUGCCCAGUAGUGUGGGAUAGCCCGGCGAAAGCCGGAUUAAUACCGCAUACGACCUAAGGGUGAAAGGGGGGGAUCGCAAGACCUCUCGCUAUUGGAGCGGCCGAUGUCAGAUUAGCUAGUUGGUGGGGUAAAAGCUCACCAAGGCGACGAUCUGUAGCUGGUCUGAGAGGACGACCAGCCACACUGGGACUGAGACACGGCCCAGACUCCUACGGGAGGCAGCAGUGGGGAAUUUUGGACAAUGGGCGCAAGCCUGAUCCAGCCAUGCCGCGUGCGGGAAGAAGGCCUUCGGGUUGUAAACCGCUUUUGUCAGGGAAGAAAUCCUUUGGGUUAAUACCUCGGGGGGAUGACGGUACCUGAAGAAUAAGCACCGGCUAACUACGUG
rnacentral:rRNA from 1 species